rnacentral:tRNA from 1 species
UCCCUGGUGGUCCAGUGGUUAGGACUAGGCACUGCCGUGGGCCCAGGUUCAAUCCCUGGUCAGGGAA